rnacentral:rRNA from 1 species
UGAGUAACACGUAUGCAACCUGCCUGCCACAGCCGGAUAAGUCGGGAGAAAUUCCGUCUAAUACGGCAUAAUGCAUCGACGGGACAUCCUGUUGGUGCCAAAGGUUAAUUCCGGUGGCGGAUGGGCAUGCGUCGCAUUAGUUAGUUGGCGGUGUAACGGACCACCAAGACGACGAUGCGUAGGGGUUCUGAGAGGAAGGUCCCCCACACUGGUACUGAGACACGGACCAGACUCCUACGGAAGGCAGCAG